UCGCAGGAGGUGGAGCAGGUUCGUGGCCGUUAUGGUGGCCUGCUAGGGGGUAGUGGAGCUGUGCGGAAUCCAUCACAGGAAGUGGAGCAGAGCUGCGAUGGUUACUGCGGCCUGUCAGGGAAUGAUGGAGCUGCGCGGAAUCUGCCACAGGAAGUGGAGCAGGAUCGCGGCCGUUAUGGCGGCCUGCCAGGGGGCGCGGAUCUGUAGAUUGAAGCUCGGCAGCGGUCGAAGCCCGGCCUCUGUGGAGGUCCGGGAGAGGUCCUCCUGGCGGUUGGGGUCGUGGGUGGAGUCUGACUUCCGUGGGAGUCCGGGCGGAACCCUCUCGGAGCUGAAGUUGCGGGCGGAACCCGACUCCCGUAGGAGUCCGGGCGGAGUCCUCUGCAAUCAAAGUUAGAGGUGAAGUCCAGCUCCCGUAGGAGUCCGGACGGAGCUUACCAGCAGUUGAUACUGA
rnacentral:lncRNA from 1 species